GACGAACGCUGGCGGCGUGCCUAAUACAUGCAAGUUGAGCGCUGAAGGUUGGUACUUGUACCAACUGGAUGAGCAGCGAACGGGUGAGUAACGCGUGGGGAAUCUGCCUUUGAGCGGGGGACAACAUUUGGAAACGAAUGCUAAUACCGCAUAAAAACUUUAAACACAAGUUUUAAGUUUGAAAGAUGCAAUUGCAUCACUCAAAGAUGAUCCCGCGUUGUAUUAGCUAGUUGGUGAGGUGAAGGCUCACCAAGGCGAUGAUACAUAGCCGACCUGAGAGGGUGAUCGGCCACAUUGGGACUGAGACACGGCCCAAACUCCUACGGGAGGCAGCAGUAGGGAAUCUUCGGCAAUGGACGAAAGUCUGACCGAGCAACGCCGCGUGAGGGAAGAAGGGUUUCGGAUCGUAAAACUCUGUUGGUAGAGAAGAACGUUGGUGAGAGUGGAAAGCUCAUCAAGUGACGGUAACUACCCAGAAAGGGACGGCUAACUACGUG
rnacentral:rRNA from 1 species